rnacentral:rRNA from 1 species
GAUGAACGCUAGCGGCAGGCCUAACACAUGCAAGUCGAGGGGUAGUUACUUUCGGGUAAUGAGACCGGCGCACGGGUGCGUAACGCGUAUGCAAUCUACCUUUUACAGGGGAAAAGCACAGUGACAUUUGGAUUAAUGCCCCAUAGUAUGUAUGAAUCGCAUUGUUUAUACAUUAAAGUUCCAACGGUAAAAGAUGAGCAUGCGUUCCAUUAGUUAGUUGGUAAGGUAACGGCUUACCAAGACGAUGAUGGGUAGGGGUCCUGAGAGGGAGAUCCCCCACAUUGGUACUGAGACACGGACCAGACUCCGACGGGAGGCAGCAGGGAGGAAUAUUGGACAAUGGGCGCAAGCGUGAUCCAGCCAUGCCGCGUGCAGGAAGAAGCAUCUAUGGUGUGUAAACUGCUUUUGUACGGGAAGAAACACUCCCUCGUGAGGGAGCUUGACGGUACCGUAAGACUAAGGCUCGGCUAACUCCGUGCCAGCAGCCGCCGUAA